rnacentral:pre_miRNA from 1 species
AGUGGAAUUGCUGGAUUGGAUGGUAAUUCUGUUUCUAGUUUUUGAGAAAUUACCAUGGUGUUUCCCACAGCAGCUGUGUCAUCUCACAUUCCCGCCAGCGAU